GAUGAACGCUGGCGGCGUGCUUAAUACAUGCAAGUCGAGCGAAAAGACGAGGAGCUUGCUCCUGUGACGUUAGCGGCGGACGGGUGAGUAACACGAGGAUAACCUACCUAUAAGACUGAGAUAUCUACGGGAAUCCGGAUAUAACACCGGAUAAUAUAUUGAACCGCAUGGUUCAAUAGUGAAAGACGGCUUUGCUGUCACUAAUAGAUGGUUCCGCGCUGCAUUAGCUAGUUGGUACGGUAACGGCUUACCAAGGCAACGCUGCGUAGCCGACCUGAGAGGGUGAUCGGCCACACUGGAACUGAGACACGGUCCAGACUCCUACGGGAGGCAGCAGUAGGGAAUCUUCGGCAAUGGGCGCAAGCCUGACGCAGCAACGCCGCGUGAGUGAUGGAGGCCUUCGGAUCGUAAAGCUCUGUUAUCAGGGAAGAACCGAUGUGUACUUACAUAUGCAGGUCUUGACGGUACCUGAUCAGGAAGCAACGGCUAACUACGUG
rnacentral:rRNA from 1 species